UACGUAGGGGGGCUAGCGUUGUCCGGAAUCAUUGGGCGUAAAGAGCGUGUAGGCGGCCCGGUAAGUCCGCUGUAAAAGUCAAAGGCUCAACCUUUGAAUGUCAGUGGAUACUGCCGGGCUAGAGUCCGGAAGAGGCGAGUGGAACUCCUGGUGUAGCGGUGGAAUGCGCAGAUAUCAGGAAGAACACCAACGGCGAAGGCAGCUCGCUGGGACGGUACUGACGCUGGAGACGCGAAA
rnacentral:rRNA from 1 species